UAACUUAGUCGGUCCAUGAAGACGCAGGAUAAGUUCCUGAGGAUAUCCGCAUCUUCUUGCACUCUGCCAACCACGUACAGUUGGUCCAUGGACGUUUAACUCCAAAGACGAGUGUCUUUCUUCUUCACCUGGGCGUUGUACGACAAGAAAAAAGUUAGCCCCAACGACGUAUUUUCGUAAUCUGGGUAAUGAGCCCGAGAACUAUAUCCCGGAGGUGGAUUAAUAAAUGGCAAAGAGCAGAAAAUCCACGUGUUUCUAGUAUCAUUUUUAUGAAAAAUACUUCAAGGGUAUUGGAGCAUAGAAGAAUUGGAGCGAACAAUAAUGGUAGAGUAAUCAAAACGUGUCAUGCCCGAUCAUAGAAAAUCAAUGCUCCGAAAUCUGCAUGGGAUUAUUUAACGGGGACUGGCGUAUUUAUGGUAUAUUGUUAUCAGAAUGAUUCUAUGAAGCUCAUAGAAUUUACUAUUUUUUGGAGAAAUUAUCGAAACAUGGAUGAAGCGUAUACGACGUUGAAUCCAAUUUUCUGCGGCAUGUCGAAGAAUUUUUCGAUACUCCAAUAGGAUCUUCGAAGUCUAACGGGAAUCUAUUAAAGCCGAACGUAAAUGUCAAAUCGAAAAGGCACAGCCAUCUGAGAAGCUCGUAUUUGAGAACUUGCAAGUUUCACCCCGGCGCGCGAGCAACCAACAAUCCGGACUGCAGGUCUGGCCGCGGCGAAGCUUGCCACGAAACUGAGAGAGUUUGGAGCUCUACAAGCUAAUAACGCUAACACGGUACCUUAUGCUAUUGAAAUACUUUACACUAGAGAAUUCUUUAAUGAGUACUGAAAGCUAUAAACAUUAUCUCUUCAUCGAGGAUCUACCAGGAUGAUUAAUUAAUUACUUUUUGGAGCACUAUUAGACUUCAGGGAUUUCCCGCUGCUCACAGACACCCUGUAUGUUGUCUCGUUGAAAUUUUAAGCACGCAGCAUCUUAAGGAAAGAAAAGCUGGUCCAUCUUGAGGUCAUUUGACAAGUAGAUAUCCACAUUUUAUAACGGACGUGGGGAAAUCAUUGACAGUGUUUCAUGGAAUGGUCAUCUUCCACGUACAAGUCAAAAUAUAGACAGUAAUUUUAUGAGGGAUCAAUAAACGGAGGCUGCGUGACGUCAGA